UAAUAGAGUCACUAUCACCAGGGGCAACGACGUACCCAGAUUGAACAAAUGAAUGAACGAAUGAAUGAUCAGCCAAGCCUAUUUUUCCUAACUUCUUUGACAGAUUAUGGGUUCUGUGGUAGUGGAGACCAUGCCCGUCAUUUCCACAGUCAAUGUCUCCAGAAGCUAGCCCUCGCCUGGUACUGGAAGAGUUCUUAUUAGAUAAAGAAUGACUGAAUGAAGACUGUUCUUCUCUUGGCUUAACAAUAGCCAAGUAUGAUUGGACAACUGGCGUGGAUAGUCAGGAUUUCAGCCUAAACUAUACAGCGUGUCCAAGGAACCGCUCUUGUGUCCCCAGACUAUCCAGGUGACAGCCACUGAUGUCAUCUUGAGACUAGCUCAGGUUGUG